rnacentral:misc_RNA from 1 species
GAAAUGCGAUAAGUAAUGUGAAUUGCAGAAUUCAGUGAAUCAUCGAAUCUUUGAACGCACAUUGCGCCCGCCAGUAUUCUGGCGGGCAUGCCUGUUCGAGCGUCAUUACAACCCUCAGGCCCCCGGGCCUGGCGUUGGGGAUCGGCGGAAGCCCCCUGCGGGCACAACGCCGUCCCCCAAAUACAGUGGCGGUCCCGCCGCAGCUUCCAUUGCGUAGUAGCUAACACCUCGCAACUGGAGAGCGGCGCGGCCACGCCGUAAAACACCCAACUACUGAAUGUUGACCUCGAAUCAGGUAGGAAUACCCGCUGAACUUAAGC